UGGGGAAUAUUGGACAAUGGGCGCAAGCCUGCUCCAGCCAUGCCGCGUGAGUGAUGAAGGCCCUAGGGUUGUAAAGCUCUUUCACCGGUGAAUAUAAUGACGGUAACCGGAGAAGAAGCCCCGGCUAACUUCGUGCCAGCAGCCGCGGUAAUACGAAGGGGGCUAGCGUUGUUCGGAUUUACUGGGCGUAAAGCGCACGUAGGCGGACUUUUAAGUCAGGGGUGAAAUCCCGGGGCUCAACCCCGGAACUGCCUUUGAUACUGGAAGUCUUGAGUAUGGUAGAGGUGGGUGGAAUUCCGGGUGUAGAGGUGAAAUACGAAGAUAUUCGGAGGAAGACCAGGGGGGAAGGCGGCUCACUAGACAAUUACUGACGCUGAGGUGCGAAAGCGAGGGGAGCAAACAGG
rnacentral:rRNA from 1 species